AAGACCAUAGCACGUGGGUGUGUUUUCGUCUGUGUGUUAGUGUUUGGGCGUCGGUGUGUUUUUACAGUUUGCUCUAUAAAAAAUCGUGCACAAGUCAUGACCAUGAAUUUUGGACCUUUCUUGUAGAUGAGGGUACUGCUCUUUUUAUACGAUAUGAGGAAAGUAAAUGUUGACUGGUCCAGAAGUGCUUGCCAACGGACAGACCCGAGAAGUACGGAGAGUUUAUAGUCGACUUCCCCGCACUCUCUUCGACUGCGCACCGCCCCCCCCACACCUGGUUUUGUGAAACAAGGGAAGAAGAAGGGAGCCCGUUGCUGCCCAAGUAUAGGAGAAGAUGAAUGUUCACUCAGCUUCUUGUGGUCAUCAUUUCAUGAUGCAUAUUCUUUUCCCAUAUAGGUUGUUAGAGAGUUCAGUGUGCUCCUUUUAAAACCACAUUUUUGACUUUCCAAACUUCUCCCCUGACUUAAACUGCAAAUGGACUCUGCUAGCAACAACCAGAUUCUGUUUCUUCAUUGGCUUUGGACCAUGGAAACUGGAGCGGGAAAUCAGAUGACUGUACUUGCAAUGCAAAGAGCAAACUGAAUAAUCCUCAGUGAUACUGAGGUGGAGAUGCCUCGCCUUAUGAGAAACCAUGGAUCUUGAGCUUCUAGUUCUAAAUAUCCUUCUGAGAUGUCUUUCGCUGUUACUUGGAAAUGAUGGAUAAAACAUGGCCAGUAUAAGGUUAAUUCUUACUUAGCCGUUACAAUAAAGGGGACAUUAAGUCCAAGUACUACCUGGAUCAGGCCAAGAGGGGCCUCUGCUCUGACCUUCCUGAAGCUGUACCUUCUCCACCUGCCAUGGGGUAAGGAUCCCAGAGAUUGUGCUGUCCAGAGCCUGCUUUCUUCUAGACCAUGCUCGGGUACACGUACCCUAGAAUUCUCUAACCGGAUGAUCUUGAGUUCUUUCUAGUGACUUCACAGGCUUCUUCUCAGGGCUCAGCCUCCUGAGAUGGACUGUCCCCCUGGGCUGUACACCUCUGGGUCCAACAUGGGGCCAGGGAGCAUCUGUUUGUUAGUGGUUGUGAAUGGGGUUGGCUGUGCAGGUGGCGUCUUCACAUGCCUGGUUGUGAAACCUCUUGUGGUCGACGGCUGAGCUGGAGAUGGGAACAAAUGAGCCAGGGGUAGGCUGGCCUCCCUGCACCUCUGCAUUCCUGUGCAGCACUUCAAGGAGUCUGAGAAUUCCAAAUCUGAAUGUGGCCUUUCAGGUCGCUAUGAAUGUAUAUUUGCCAAGGCAGAGGAUAAAACAGAAGCUAUUUAACAGUUUGUUAGCUUGACCCACAACUUUAUAUAUACACAUAUAUAUUUCUUUUUAAUGUGGACCAUUUUAUUUAUUUAUUUUAAAACUUUAUUUAUUUAUUUUUGGCUGCAUUGGGUCUUCAUUGCUGCGCACGGGCUUUCUCUAGUUGUGGUGAGUGGGGGCUACCCUUCGAUAUGGUGCACAGGCUUCUCAUUGCAGUGGCUUCUCAGAGCACGGGCUCUAGGCGUGCGGGCUUCAGUAGUUGUAGCACGUGGGCUCAGUAGUUGUGGCUCGUGGGCUCUAGAGCGCAGGCUCAGUAGUUGUGGCACACGGGCUUAGUUGCUCCGCAGCAUGUGGGAUCUUCCUGGACCAGGGCUUGAACCCGUGUCCCCUGCAUUGGCAGGCGGAUUCUUAACCACUGUGCCACCAGGGAAGCCUAAUGUGGACCAUUUUAAAAGUCUUUAUUGAAUAUGUUACAAAAUUGCUUCUGUUUUAUGUUUUGGUUUUUCCGCCGUGAGGCUCUUAGCUCCCUGACCGGGGAUCAAACGCACACUCCCUGCAUUGGAAGGCGAAGUCUUAACCAGUGGACCGCCAGGGAAGUCCCAAUCCAUAACUUUUAAAUACUUAAAUGUAUGGUAUGAGGGCCUCCACUUGUACUUUUGCCCAAAGCAUCACAAAUGUUAGGAGUGGGCCUGAUUAACAUGGAUACCCAUAAAAAAUUCCAUGCUAAAAUGUCCAUGAUUUUCUUUGCUGACACAGAAGCGCCCAAGAAACAGAGCAGACUGUUCAAAAGCAAAAGCCGAGGAGAACUAACAAAAUACCAGGGAUGGCUAUCCGUUACCAUUUUUAUUCUUUUUUUUUAUCUUGCAAAUGAGAUUUCUGGAAAGGGAAAUAUCAUAAUUAAUAAAUCAAAACCAAUAAUGGGACAGUUUCAUUGGAAGAAAAAGCAGAGGAAAAAUCCCCAGACAUCAGUUGUACCAAACAUGGUAUGUAUCUGCUCUCUGUCAGCCAAAGCUUGGUGUCAGAAAAUUAUUGCUGGAAUAUUUGGAAUCCUUAAUUCCAGGAAACCUGGGGGCUUCUGGGCAGCAUAUGUGAAGUUAAGAGGCAAGAAAUAUUUCAUCUUCUGUGAAAGUCACAAGAACAAAGAACAAGGUAUUAGCAAGCUAGUGACUAGGUGUGGCCAAGUGAGUCUGUUUUCUUCUUUUCAUGUUUCUUAUGUUUUCUCUAAAUGUCUGAAGCCAAAGCUUUUUGGAGAAGGAGAGUCCGUCUUCCUUCUCCCCUCUGAGUUCAUGGGGGAAGGUUGCCUGUGCCUACUUGGCGUGGUGGUGUUUCUGGCUCAGUAGUUGUGGCUCAUGGGCUCUAGAGCGCAGGCAACAGCUGCCAACCACUCCUGACUCAUCUUCAACACAGGCUGCUCAUUUAUUCCUGGGUCACAUGGACGACUAGCAAAAGCUAGUAUAGAAGAAGCUUAGUCUUAGAUUCUUUCCAUUUAGAUUUCAAUCCUGAGGACCACUUGGGGACUCCUUUGAUGAGCCUCUUCAUUUACAGUCAUUGUGGCCUCUGGCAAAUCACUGAAUCUCAAGAAGCCUCAGUUUCUUAAGUGUAUCAUGAGAAUAAUGACAACCUACCUUAGAGGAUCAUUGUGAAAAUUGCCAACCAAGUGCCUAGUUUACAAUAGAUGCUUCCUAAAAUGUUUUGGAGCCUCUUCCAAAUAAUGUAGUAUUUUAAAAUUCGUCUACAUUUAUAUCAGACACAUAUUGUUUCUUUUUGUAUUUAAAUACAACUCUUAUGUAAAUAAAUUUUAAAUUAUUAUCUAAAUAAAUUCAAAUUAUUAUUUAGAUACACUUCUACCUGUACCCCUCCUGGAGUUUAUUCCAUCACUGUCUCUACAUACAUGUCUGGGGUAUAGUUCUAGAGGGUAGGUCUAGGAGAAGGGCCAAAAUGAAACUAGAGGAUGUCGUUUGAUUAUUUUCUGCCUGUCUUCCGAGGAACUCCUGAGUUAAAAAUGCAUCUGGCUCCCAUUUCCUGCAGAAUUUUGCUUAUUUGAAAUGUUCAAGAAAUCAACUGAUCCGACUUCAAACAGACUAGGUUCUGCUGGCCUUGGAAAAGCCCAAACCCCUGUUUGUGUCACUCCCAAGUCUGGAUUUCACAAGCAUCCAGUUCCUUUCAUACCUUAGUAAAGGACUUCUUUUUGGCUGUGUACUCUCUGUGCUGAGCCAAGUGUCAGGCUGGGAAUUGAGGCAAUAAAUCUUUGUGAGUCUUCAUAUUUGGAAUUUCUCCUGUUGCUUCUGAUAAGGAAAUGACAGAGUCUCUCAGCUCUAUGCAUGAACCUCAGAGAAAUUUGUAAUCCAAAUCAUGUUUUGCUCACAAAAUGGAAACAAAAAGUGCUAAACCUGGCUUUGAGUUAACCCAGAUGGUUUUGAAGGCCUGGGUGGUGGACAAGGAAAUUACAUUUGUUGAUUGAACUUGCAAAAUUUAAAAAUGAAAACAAAUUUCUUUCUAUCUUUUUAAAAAUUCUGAUUAAAUCUUUCUCAAUGGGUGGGGUGGAUGGCAGCAAGAUUCUUCCGAGGUGAAGGUCUUUGCAAAGAAUCUUCGCCUUCCUGUAGUAAGAAGAGACCUCACUGUUGGUUGCAUGACCUCCUCUGCCCCUUCCCACAUUUACUUUGGUACUUCCAAGUUUCGUUCUAAGCCUCAAAGACUGACUGAAGUGAAUAUGAUUGGUAAUCAGCAAUUUCUCAAAAAUGGAAAGAUUUUCCCAUAAUCUCUCCACAUUCUCUGAGAUGACUAAUGAAGCCAACCCAGGUCUGGCUAACUCCCUGAGUGAUCAUGGCAAAAAGAUAUUCUCAAAAUAAAACAAGAAAAACUUUUUUAUUAAAUGUUUCUAGUUGAUUUUGAGUAUGUUCUAUCCAACAGCAUCCCUGACAACAUUCAUUUCUGGCAUUUCAGUGCAAGUGGUAAAAAUGACUUGGAACAAAAAACUUCAUUCAGCAGCAAUCCCUUGGCCCUAGCUAUUGUUUGCCUGAGACCCACUACCAUAAAUGAAGAGGUGGAGGUUGAUUUUAUCAUCCAUGGUCAGAAUCCUGCCGGAGUUUGGUUGGUAUUGAUAUGACAUCAACUAGCUAGUGGCCUUUUUCAAAGGACCCGUGGUUUUGAGCUAUACCAUGUGAGAAACCCAGUUAAAAUGAGUUUCUUUCUCUCUCCUGAGUCUACAUUCAGUUCCUGAUUUUGAUUUUGUUGGCACAGGGUAAAAUGGUCAAUGAUCCUGACACAUUCACCAUUUGGAGUGAACUGGUCUACCCAUUCUUCUUACUACUGAUAGGGAUAGAAUAGCAUAGUUAUACAGGUAGUUGUAGAAGUCCCAGUAGGGGACUAUAGAUAGAGAGGGAAACCUAGGAAACUUUGGGAGACCACUGUAAGUUAAUGAUCGCUCAAGAAAGCUAUUGGGGGCUUCCCUGGUGGCGCAGUGGUUGAGAGUCCGCCUGCUGAUACAGGGGACGAGCGUUCGUGCCCUGGUCCGAGAAGAUCCCACGUGUCGCGGAGCGGCUUGGCCUGUGAGCCAUGGCCGCUGAGCCUGCGCGUCCGGAGCCUGUGCUCUGCAACGGGAGAGGCCACAACAGUGAGAGGCCCACGUACCGCAAAAAAAAAAAAAAAAAAG